GACGGGUGAGUAACACGUGGGUAACCUGCCUGUAAGACUGGGAUAACUCCGGGAAACCGGAGCUAAUACCGGAUAGUUCCUUGAACCGCAUGGUUCAAGGAUGAAAGACGGUUUCGGCUGUCACUUACAGAUGGACCCGCGGCGCAUUAGCUAGUUGGUGGGGUAAUGGCUCACCAAGGCGACGAUGCGUAGCCGACCUGAGAGGGUGAUCGGCCACACUGGGACUGAGACACGGCCCAGACUCCUACGGGAGGCAGCAGUAGGGAAUCUUCCGCAAUGGACGAAAGUCUGACGGAGCAACGCCGCGUGAGUGAUGAAGGUUUUCGGAUCGUAAAGCUCUGUUGUUAGGGAAGAACAAGUGCGAGAGUAACUGCUCGCACCUUGACGGUACCUAACCAGAAAGCCACGGCUAACUACGUGCCAGCAGCCGCGGUAAUACGUAGGUGGCAAGCGUUGUCCGGAAUUAUUGGGCGUAAAGGGCUCGCAGGCGGUUUCUUAAGUCUGAUGUGAAAGCCCCCGGCUCAACCGGGGAGGGUCAUUGGAAACUGGGAAACUUGAGUGCAGAAGAGGAGAGUGGAAUUCCACGUGUAGCGGUGAAAUGCGUAGAGAUGUGGAGGAACACCAGUGGCGAAGGCGACUCUCUGGUCUGUAACUGACGCUGAGGAGCGAAAGCGUGGGGAGCGAACAGGAUUAGAUACCCUGGUAGUCCACGCCGUAAACGAUGAGUGCUAAGUGUUAGGGGGUUUCCGCCCCUUUAGUGCUGCAGCUAACGCAUUAAGCACUCCGCCUGGGGAGUACGGUCGCAAGACUGAAACUCAAAGGAAUUGACGGGGGCCCGCACAAGCGGUGGAGCAUGUGGUUUAAUUCGAAGCAACGCGAAGAACCUUACCAGGUCUUGACAUCCUCUGACAACCCUAGAGAUAGGGCUUUCCCUUCGGGGACAGAGUGACAGGUGGUGCAUGGUUGUCGUCAGCUCGUGUCGUGAGAUGUUGGGUUAAGUCCCGCAACGAGCGCAACCCUUGAUCUUAGUUGCCAGCAUUUAGUUGGGCACUCUAAGGUGACUGCCGGUGACAAACCGGAGGAAGGUGGGGAUGACGUCAAAUCAUCAUGCCCCUUAUGACCUGGGCUACACACGUGCUACAAUGGACAGAACAAAGGGCUGCAAGACCGCAAGGUUUAGCCAAUCCCAUAAAUCUGUUCUCAGUUCGGAUCGCAGUCUGCAACUCGACUGCGUGAAGCUGGAAUCGCUAGUAAUCGCGGAUCA
rnacentral:rRNA from 1 species